rnacentral:lncRNA from 1 species
CAAGAACUUCAUUUUCUAGAGCAGAAGCCAGAGUGACAGAAAACACAUUUUUCCAUUUUUAGGGGAGGGCCCUUUGGCUGCUCAUGGAGAUGGUCAGAGGUAUAGGAGGGACUUUGGCCGGUGUGCACUGAGGUGGUAACUGGGACACUAAGAACUGUGUGACCUACUCAGCGUGGAAAGGUACCAGGAAGGCUCCACGGGCCGCAGCGUCUCAGGAGGACAGCUGCCGUGAGAGGACCCUAUGACCCCACUGCAGCUGCUGUGGGCUGGAUCAUCAGUUCACCUGGAUCACCGGACCCAAGGGGGGCAAGAGUGCUUUGUGGGGCUUUAGAACUUGGAACUGAGAAAGUCAGCCUCCUUUAGGUGCUUGAAGUUUUAACACGAAACUGG